rnacentral:rRNA from 1 species
UACAGAGGUCUCAAGCGUUGUUCGGAUUCAUUGGGCGUAAAGGGUGCGUAGGCGGCGCGGUAAGUCGGGGGUGAAAUCUCGGAGCUUAACUCCGAAACUGCAUUCGAUACUGCCGUGCUUGAGGACUGGAGAGGAGACUGGAAUUUACGGUGUAGCGGUGAAAUGCGUAGAUAUCGUAAGGAAGACCAGUGGCGAAGGCGGGUCUCUGGACAGUUCCUGACGCUGAGGCACGAAGGUCAGGGGAGCGAACAGG